rnacentral:rRNA from 1 species
ACUCUCCGGUUGAUUGGGGGACUGGUGAGUAACCCUUGGGUAACCUGCCCAGAACUGUGGAAUACCUCGGGGAAACUCAAGCUAAUACCGCAGGACAUCUUUGGGACAAGAGUCCUGACGAUCACUUCGGGGUCGCAGUACCUCUCGCUACCGGAUGGGCCCGCGCCCGAUUAGCUAGUUGGCGAGGUAACGGCUCACCUCGGCAACGAUCGGUUGCCGGCCUGAUAGGGUGAUCGGCCACGCCGUAUCUGACACACGGUCCGGACUCCUACGGGAGGCAUUUAUGGGGAAUCUUGCGCAAUGGGCGAAAGCCUGACGCACUAACGCCGCGUGGAGGAUGAAGGCCCUUGGGUUGUAAACUCCUGUCCGCUGGCAAGAAAUCGUUCUGGGCUAAUACCUCCGGACGUUGACUGUGCCAGCAAAGGAAGCCCCGGGUAUUUCUGUGCCAGCAGCCGCGGUAAUACAGAGGGGGCCACCGUUGUUCGGAAUUAUUGAGCGUAAAGGGUGCGUAGGGGGUCACCCGUGUCUUUCGUGAAAUCCCUCGGGUUAACUGAUGACGUGCGGAAGAAACUGCAAGGCUCGAGUCCGGGAGAGGGGGGUGGAAUUCCCAGUGUAGCGGUGAAUCGUGUAGAUAUUGGGAGGAACACCGGAGGCGAAGGCGGCCCCCUGGACCUGUACUGACGCUGAGGCGCGAAAGCGUGGGGAGCAAACGGGAUUAGAUACCUCGGUAGUCCACGCGGUAAACGAUGGGCACUUGGUGUCGCGGGUAUCGACCCCUGCGGUGCGGAAGCUAACGCAUUAAGUGCCCACGCCUG